rnacentral:rRNA from 1 species
GUCGAGUCGGCCUGCGCGGAAGAUGUAACGGGGCUAAAAUAUAGCACCGAAGCUGCGGCUUUCAGGGGUCAGAUUACAGGAGUCAGAUAACAGUAUGGUAAUGAAAUUUGAAGAUUUGCAAGUGUUUCAAAGAAGUUAUAAGAUUUCUUUAGAAUUGCAUAAGGCAAGUUUAGAUUUUCCAAAGCAUGAGCAAUAUGGUUUAGCAGACCAAAUAAGAAGAGCAAGCAAAAGUAUUUGUGCAAAUAUAGCAGAAGGUUUUGCGAGAAAACGCUCUCAGGCUGAUUUUAAUCGUUUUAUCGGAAUGGCAAUAGGCAGUGCUGAUGAAAUGAGAGUAUGGUUAAGAUACUGUUUAGACUUAGGUUAUAUAGCGGAGCAACAAUGGCAAAGAUGGCGUAAUGAAUACGAAGAAAUUGCAAAAAUGUUGCAAGGUUUAGGUAAAAGGGUAGAUAAAACUGCCGUCUGAAACCUGUAAUCUGACCCCUGACAGGGUAGGGGAGCGUUGUGUAAGCGGAAGAAGGUGAAUCGAGAGGUUUGCUGGACGUAUCACAAGUGCGAAUGCUGACAUAAGUAACGAUAAAACGAGUGAAAAACUCGUUCGCCGGAAGACCAAGGGUUCCUGUCCAACGUUAAUCGGGGCAGGGUGAGUCGGCCCCUAAGGCGAGGCUGAAAAGCGUAGUCGAUGGGAAACGGGUUAAUAUUCCCGUACUUGGUAAAGUUGCGAUGUGGGGACGGAGUAGGUUAGGUUAGCGUACUGUUGGAUAUGUACGUUUAAGCGUGUAGGUGGGAAGUUUAGGCAAAUCCGAACUUCCAUUCAACACUAAGGCGUGAUGACGAUUUCCCAAGGGAAAGAAGUAAUCGAUACCACACUUCCAGGAAAAGCCACUAAGCGAAAGACUUUACUAAACCGUACUGAAAACCGACACAGGUGGUCAGGUAGAGAAUACUCAGGCGCUUGAGAGAACUCGGGUGAAGGAACUAGGCAAAAUAGCACCGUAACUUCGGGAGAAGGUGCGCCGGCGUAGAUUGUAGUGAUUAACUCACGAAGGUUGAACCGGUCGAAGAUACCAGCUGGCUGCAACUGUUUAUUAAAAACACAGCACUCUGCAAACACGAAAGUGGACGUAUAGGGUGUGAUGCCUGCCCGGUGCUGGAAGGUUAAUUGAUGGUGUUAUCGCAAGAGAAGCUCCUGAUCGAAGCCCCAGUAAACGGCGGCCGUAACUAUAACGGUCCUAAGGUAGCGAAAUUCCUUGUCGGGUAAGUUCCGACCUGCACGA